rnacentral:rRNA from 1 species
UACGUAGGGUGCGAGCGUUAAUCGGAAUUACUGGGCGUAAAGCGUGCGCAGGCGGCUUUGCAAGACAGAAGUGAAAUCCCCGGGCUCAACCUGGGAACUGCAUUCGUGACUGCAAGGCUAGAGUACGGCAGAGGGGGAUGGAAUUCCGCGUGUAGCAGUGAAAUGCGUAGAUAUGCGGAGGAACACCAAUGGCGAAGGCAAUCCCCUGGGCCUGUACUGACGCUCAUGCACGAAAGCGUGGGGAGCAAACAGG